ACAAAUGAUUUGGUUUUUAACCAAAACACUGUGUGCAAUCAUAUCUGUCUCUGGUGGUUUAACCUUCCUGUCCGCAGGAAAACCAAACCACCAAAUGAUAAACAAACCUUUGUAUUUUUUAUUCUUGUCUGAAUCAUUCACUUUUGUGCAAUGAAAAAA
rnacentral:misc_RNA from 1 species